UACGUAGGGGGCGAGCGUUGUCCGGAUUCAUUGGGCGUAAAGAGCGCGUAGGCGGUCGGCAGAGCCUGGCGUGAAAGCCCCCAGCUUAACUGGGGGAGGCCGUUGGGGACCUGGUGACUGGAGGCCUGUAGGGGCGAGUGGAAUUCCCGGUGUAGUGGUGGAAUGCGUAGAGAUCGGGAGGAACACCAGUGGCGAAGGCGACUCGCUGGGCAGGACCUGACGCUGAGGCGCGAAAGCGUGGGGAGCGAUCCGG
rnacentral:rRNA from 1 species